AUUUAAUCUAUAUAAUAUCCUUUGAAAAAUUAAUUCUAUAAUUAUUAGGUAAUAUCAUACCUUUUGCAUAAUGGUUAAAUAAAAAUAAAUUUUUAUUAAAGUUUCCCGAUAAUAAAAGAUCUAUUUAUUUUUCUAUAUUAGUCUUGUCUCUAAAUUUUAUUGUUGCAUAAAUAAGAUUUUAAAUAAUAAAUAGUAGUGAAAUGCUAACAAUUUUAUUUAUAUCUGGAUAGUUUUUAAAAGCAUUUAGUGUUUAGGCAACUUUUAGGUGAUAAGAUCUAAAAGCUUAAGAAUAUUAAAUAAAACUUAUUCUCUAAAGAUUUAUGUUUUUAUAGAAAUGAUAUCUUAAUAUAAUAACUUUUAUUAAUCUUUAUAGUAAAAACUUUUUUUAUAUAAUUUUUAUAGAAAUUAAUAAUGUUUAAAUUAGUAAAAAUUUUAUUUAACUAAUUAAAGGAACUCGACAAAAAGGUUUUUUGAACUGUUUAACAAAAACAUAGCUUAAAGUUUAUAUUUUAGGUGAGACCUGCUCAAUGAAGAUGUAGAUUAUUUAAAUAGCCGCAGUACUUUGACUGUGCUAAGGUAGCAUAAUAAAUUGGCUUUUAAUUGAAGUCUGGAAUGAAAGGUAAAUUUGAAAAAGAUUGUCUCUAAUUAGAUUUAUUAAACUUACUUAAUAGGUGAAAAUUCCUAUGUUUUUCAUAAUAGACGAGAAGACCCUAAGAAUUAUUAAAAAUAAGUUUAUUUUACUUUAAUUUUUUGUUGGGGCAACAACUUUGAACAUAAAACCAAAGGGUUAAAGAUUCUAAGACAAAUUUUAUUUUGAAAAAAAUUAAUUACCUUAGGGAUAACAGCAUAAUUUUCUUUUUAGAUUGUGACCUCGAUGUUGGAUUAAGGACCCCUUAGGUAAGCCACUUAAGAGAAUAGUUCUGUUCGAACUUUAUAUCCUUACAUGAUCUGAGUUCAGACCGGCGUAAGCCAGGUCAGUUUCUAUCUUUUAUUUUUAAAUUGUUAGUACGAAAGGACCACUUUUUAGUAUUUUAUAUAUUUUAGUU
rnacentral:rRNA from 1 species